rnacentral:rRNA from 1 species
UUUAUUGGAGAGUUUGAUCCUGGCUCAGGAUGAACGCUGGCGGCGUGCCUAAUACAUGCAAGUCGAGCGAAUGGAUUAAGAGCUUGCUCUUAUGAAGUUAGCGGCGGACGGGGGAGUAACACGUGGGUAACCUGCCCAUAAGACUGGGAUAACUCCGGGAAACCGGGGCUAAUACCGGAUAACAUUUUGAACCGCAUGGGUCGAAAUUGAAAGGCGGCUUCGGCUGUC